ACCCUUCAGUUCGUGAGUGUGAUAACUGUGUUCGUGCCACAUGUGUGAGAUGUUCUUCCCUCAAACCUUGUUACAGGGACAUUACUUGUCAGCCU
rnacentral:snoRNA from 1 species